GUCUACAGCCAUGCCACCCUGAACAAGCCCAAUGUAUGAUCUCAUGAAGCUAAGCAGGGUCGGGCCUGGUUAGUACUUGAAUGGGAGACCACUUAUGAAGACCAGGUACUGUAGGCA
rnacentral:rRNA from 1 species